GCGGGGUGGGGGUAGAAACAGAUAGCCUGCUCCCGAAGAAGCCAAGAAGGCGACCCCGCCGCCGUCGCCAUCGCCGCUGCCGGCCACCAUUGCCGCCGCACCUUCCCUCCUCCGACAUCCAUAGAUCGAGAUGCCAAGAUCUGUGAGGGAGGUGCUAUAGGGUCUUCACCCAGCCCUUUGCCGGCGACGAGCAUCCACCAGGGUACGCCAAGCUGCCGCCAACCGCGCUGACACCAAGCUGCCGCCGACCGCGCCGAUGGCCAAGCCGCUGCUGACCCGGAUUCAUCUGCACAAACAGAUCACGGAGUCACAGAGAAACAUCUCGAG